CUUUGAAAUUCACAUUUUUUAUUGUCUGAUAUAAAGAUCUAUUUACACAAUAAAUCUUGUUAAAAGACCAAAAUUAAUUAGCAUGAUCAACCAACCAUUCUUCUGCUCUGUGGUCACGUCACUAAAACAAAUAUGUACAAGCAAAUUUCAUUUCUUUGAACAAUUCCCCCUCCCCCUUCCAAAAUCUUAUCCUCAGGCACUCCACAUACAGACAAACACAUAGGCCUACAAUGUCUAGCAUUGUUUCCCUUGUUAGCCACCCCACAAUCACACACACACACUAAACAGGAAGUAUUCUACUAGUAGUGUUAUAUACAUCGUGACAUGGAUCUGUAUAUUUAGCACUGAUUACAUUUGGACUAAUUAAAGUAAAUGAAAAUAUAUAUAUACAUCUUUAUAUACUAAAUGUUGAUAUUGACAUUGGCAGCAAUACAAAUUAAACGUGUUCUGUUAAGAAGUCAAGACAAUCACAUGAAGUUUUUAGAUGUAGGUGGAAGUUUUGUAUUGCUUCUUAUAGAUCUGUUGUGUUGUUCUGUGUGUAUUUGGCAGUGGUUAGAAUGGAUCCUAGACGCUACUUAACUAUAGGCCUACAAAGCAGAGAGAGCACACACAAGGAAAAGGCCAGAAGUAUAUCAACAUGUUUUUUUUUAAAGGGGUUGUUAAUAUAUUCUUGAUUUCGUGCAUGUAUUUUUUUGUAUCCAGAGCAUUGUCUAUUUAAUUGAAAGUUGCGUUUGGUCUGUGACAUCUUAUUAUUUUCACACAACAAAAGACAGCGUCUAUGUCUAGACCUUAUUCUGUCUUAUUGGAAUGUUUGAGAUCUGAUAACAUUAAAUAACAUCAACCAUAUUUUAGCUGGCAUGAAGUUGAUAUAAAAACCUGGCCACAUUGGGAUACCAAAAGAGUAACCAUGACAAUAUAGAUAAACACAAAAAAAAAUAAAAAAUACAAUAGUAGAAUACAUAGACGUCAUAGAUCUACAAACCUUAUUGGCGAGUGAAAAGAAAACUAUUUAGAUUCUAAAUCAAAUAAUACAGCGUAUGAUUGGUCAACGUGGAUAUUGAAUGUAGUCCAUUUGCAUUGCUUACAUUUCACACUAAUUAAAAAAAAAGAUCUAGAUCUAUAUAUUCUAGAUUUAGACUAUUUUUAGAAUCUCGAUCUAGUCUAUAAAUUAUAUGACUAUGUAGAUCAUUUAUACGGGAUCAUACAGUCAUAUCAUAUGAUUAACGACCUUUAAAAAAUACAUCUAUGUUUUAAUAACGCAUCCACCAUUGUGACUAUAAAAAUAAUGAAGCACACUUGCAUACAAAACAAACAUUUAUGUUUUAAAGAUCCCCAUUUGUUUUCAACACUCUCCAGGUCAGUGAAGUAACUUUGAUCACAGACCGACAUCUACUAUCUAGUUCUGAAAACGGAUCACGCAAAGAACUAAUUAAAAAAAUAACAUAAUCACUAGGCUAGAAAAUCAAGAUCCACCGGGAGCAAAUAAAAUUGAAACAAUUUAUAUUUAUAUCUUCCACUUGGGGGAAGGGGAGACAUCUUGAACAUGGUAAAACCUUUUUUUAAAAUACAUUUCAAACUUUGCUGACUACUGAAACUACAGGCCCUCCUAAGAAAAAAACAACAUUAAACCGGAAGAGAAAGAGUCGUAAUCGUCUGAUCGCUUUUUGAAAGUCUUGUAAUUCGAGAGAUUCCUACAAGGUAUGGAUGCUUUGUGUGCUGAGUAUUUUAUUUUUCAAAAAUCAUUUCUUAAAUACGAUAAUGUGGGGAAAAAAUGAAUGUUAAAGACUCUCCCCCCCCCCCCCCCCCCC